CCUGGUGCAGGGAGAAAGCCGACAGGCUAGCUGGGAACACCUGCAGGACAGCUCAGCUGUGCAGAGGGGCACUGUGUGUGCUUUAAAAUAAUAUGAAUAAUAAUCCUCAUCAGAAGAACAAUAAUAAUGAUGAUGUAGACAAAAUGUUUCCCAGCAUGUAGGCUUCUCCAGGCAUGCACAAAGCCAAGCAAAGGCGAAAAAAUGAUUCCGGACUCCCUGAUCUGUGAAGUGACUGGCGUUUGGAUUGCUGGUCUCAGACGCUGGGGAGUCUGGUUCUCCCCUUCACACUGGGGGGUUCAGCCCUGUUAGAGGAAACCGCAUCUUGUGUCAAAGAGCCGUUACACCACGGCCACAAGAAGAUUGACCCGGCAACGAGAUGAGUGCAAAUCUAAAGACCACGAGGCAACUUUUUCUAACAAUUUGAAGGUUGUAGAUGGCAUUUGUAAUCAAACGCAAAUAGUCCAAUGUACAUUUUCUGAACAAUCUUGAUUUGAGCUACUGAGUGAAACUACAGAAAGGUUGCCUGAGUGGUUUGAUGAAAUGAAGUGUUUUAGUUUACAGUUGUAUUAGCUGUGCAGGGUUGUCCUGAUCAUCAGAGUCACUGAGCAGUGCCGUUCCAGUCCGCUCUGCUAUGUGAGCUCAGGCUAGCAGGAUACGAGUGGAGCUGCCAUUCACAAACACCGCAGCCCAACACAAUACAGGUCAGGGAUGCCUUUCAGUAAUACAGGAAGUCGUGAAGGAAACCUUCAUGGAUAUUCUGAAAAAUAAUAUAUAGAUUUUUUUUUUUUUAGCAACAUUCUCGAAAGUCAUGUUGUUAGAAGAGGUCGAAGCAAAGCUGCUUUUUGGAGAGCACACACACAGGCACAUUGCCAACACCAUUUUAUAAUGAAUUGUUUUAUUACAUUGUAACGAUAACUGUAUGGUUAGCUCCUGUGUUAUUACAGUGUAGCUGGGAGGUGCUCACAUCAAACCUUUUAAACAUCACAAUGUUGCACUUGUGUAUCAAUAUGCCCCCCUCGUCUGAUGAAGCACAGAAAAAAAACUGCAUCACGUACUUGAGAAAGCCUUUUAUUCACACAGAAUUGCCAUUCACUGUGAUGUUUAGACGAGCACAGGAGCGUGGCACUGAUGAAACACAGAAUUCAGCCAGACCUGUCUUUACUGGUCAUCUGAAGCAGGUGGUCCGAUUUGCUCUUUC